AUAUUCCUCCCAUAAUCAAAUCAUUUGGCUUUUACAAGUCGGAGCUACAUGCAUUCAACCUCACGUUGAAUAUUGCAAACUUUUAAUACCUAGUAUUUUUUUUUUUGUCUACUUGCUAAGAUGAACCUUUAAACCUUUUGGACCAAAAUGGCGUUAGAUAUAAAAAGGACCAAUCAUCGAAUAUUCCUUAAAACCACACAUUGAAUAUAGAGGUAACGUAUAAUAACAUAUUUUCGAAUG
rnacentral:lncRNA from 1 species